AACGAACGCUGGCGGCAUGCCUAACACAUGCAAGUCGAACGAUGCCUCCGGGCAUAGUGGCGCACGGGUGCGUAACGCGUGGGAAUCUGCCCUUGGGUUCGGAAUAACUCGCCGAAAGGCGAGCUAAUACCGGAUGAUGACGUAAGUCCAAAGAUUUAUCGCACAAGGAUGAGCCCGCGUAGGAUUAGCUAGUUGGUGGGGUAAAGGCCCACCAAGGCGACGAUCCUUAGCUGGUCUGAGAGGAUGAUCAGCCACACUGGGACUGAGACACGGCCCAGACUCCUACGGGAGGCAGCAGUGGGGAAUAUUGGACAGUGGGCGAAAGCCUGAUCCAGCAAUGCCGCGUGAGUGAUGAAGGCCUUAGGGUUGUAAAGCUCUUUUACCCGGGAUGAUAAUGACAGUACCGGGAGAAUAAGCUCCGGCUAACUCCGUG
rnacentral:rRNA from 1 species